CAUAUUACUCCCUACGAACGGAUGAUACUUCAGACCGAUGGCAAUAGCACAUGUGAUACUCCAGGUAUAUAUCUACCUCCAUGUAUAUGUUCAGCUACAUAUUUUGUUAUACAUGUCAAACACCAUGUGCCGAAAGGUUAACACCAUGUGCCUACAACUUUGCCUUAUUUCGGUCCUGUAUAUUGUUAUGUUUACAUGAUGCAGACAACCCUCCAAUCUCAUGCCUAUAUAAUGUAGAUUCGUUGCCGGCUCUCAGUAAUCUAACAAAAGAACUAGCUAGCAUGACAAGUGACAUUUGGGAAGAGAGGCCUCAGAAUGUCCCACGCCAUCCUCUCAGUGAUAUCACUAAUGCAGAUUAACCAUCCUCUAUGGACCUUCAUGAAAAAAGAGAGCUAAUGAAAGCUCGGAGGCGAGCUGCUUAUAGAAAGAAAAAAGAGAAGGCUACCGUCAAGCAACAAGAUGAAAAAUUGUCUGCCCUUACGAUAUCAGAUAUGCAAAAUGUUCCCAUGUUACCUCUCGGUGAUAUCACUAAGGUGUGUCAACCAACCUCGGUGGACCUUGACGAGAAAAAAGAGCUAACAAAUGCUCGAAGGCGAGCGGGUUAUCGAAAGAAAAAAGAGGAGGCAGCCAGCAAGCAACAAGAUGAAAAUCUGCCUGCGAUUACGAAAUCAGGUAAGGAUGUUUUAUGUUUCAGCAAUACGAUGACCAUAUGUAUACUUUCUGAGUGAAGGAUGUAGGCGACGUAUGUCUCCUCACCCCAACCCCACGAAUAAUUGACCGAACAAUAGUUGACCACUGUGUUGUGCAUACAAUUCCUGAUCAUUUAGGUUCAAUUCGAUAUAGGUCAGACAUACGACUUUUGAGUCCAUAUACACUUCAUGUAUGGACACGGAGGGGUUAUAUAAAAAAUAAACCCUAAUGGUCUGUGUAACGGGACGAGGCUUGUGGUGCGAGGUUUCGAGAGGAAUGCCAUCGACGCAGAAAUCGUGAUCGGACAACACGCAGGUAGGAGGGUAUUCCUUCCUCGAAUACCCCUAUGCCCGUCUGACAACGACAUGUUUCCAUUCAAGUUCAAGAGGAAGCAAUUUCCUGUAAGACUUAGCUUUGCUAUGACGAUUAACAAGGCUCAAGGCCAGACGAUUCCGAUUGUUGGUGUGUACCUACCUAAUCCGGUGUUCUCUCAUGGUCAACUGUAUGUUGCAUUGUCUCGAACCACCGCAAAGAGAAAUAUAAAGAUCCUCAUUGAGAAGGAGAAGGAGAAGGAGAAUGCCAAGAAGAAAAGCGGUAAA